rnacentral:rRNA from 1 species
GACAGAGGGUGCAAACGUUGUUCGGAAUUACUGGGCGUAAAGCGCGUGUAGGCUGCUUCGCAAGUCGGAUGUGAAAGCCCUGGGCUCAACCCAGGAAGUGCAUUCGAAACUGCAGAGCUGGAGUCCUGGAGAGGAAGGCGGAAUUCUCGGUGUAGAGGUGAAAUUCGUAGAUAUCGAGAGGAACACCGGUGGCGAAGGCGGCCUUCUGGACAGUGACUGACGCUGAGACGCGAAAGCGUCGGGGAGCAAACAGG